rnacentral:lncRNA from 1 species
CUAGGGGAACCGAAAACAGUUCUAGACAGACCUGCGGUUUUAUAGCAGUUUUGGCAGUCAACUUCAGCUUGUGCCUGAGCCGUGGGGCCGCUGUGGCCUGCCGGCGGGGGACGCCAGACCGCCUCCCCUGGCGGCGAGGCAGCUUCUCUCUUAAUUAGAUCGACUUCCCCUGGUGCCAGGGAGAAGGAGUACCCGCAGAAAGG